AAACAGGGAAUUGCCCUAGUACGGCGAGUGAAGCGGCAACAGCUCAAAUUUGAAAUCUGGCCUCCUCUGGUGGUCCGAGUUGUAAUUUGCAGAGGGUGCUUUGGCGUUGGCAGCGGUCUAAGUUCCUUGGAACAGGACGUCACAGAGGGUGAGAAUCCCGUACGUGGUCGCCCGCCUCCGCCGUGUAAAGCCCCUUCGACGAGUCGAGUUGUUUGGGAAUGCAGCUCUAAAUGGGAGGUAAAUUUCUUCUAAAGCUAAAUACUGGCCAGAGACCGAUAGCGCACAAGUAGAGUGAUCGAAAGAUGAAAAGCACUUUGGAAAGAGAGUCAAAAAGCACGUGAAAUUGUUGAAAGGGAAGCGCUUGCAGCCAGACUUGCCCGUAGUUGCUCACCCGGACUUUUGCCCGGGGCACUCUUCUGCGGGCAGGCCAGCAUCAGUUUGGGCGACCGGAUAACGGCCUCUGUCAUGUAUCAUCCCUCGGGAUGACCUUAUAGGGGAGGCGUAAUGCGGCCAGCCUGGACUGAGGUCCGCGCAUCUGCUAGGAUGCUGGCGUAAUGGCUGUAAGCGGCCCGUCUUGGAAACACGGACCAAAAA
rnacentral:rRNA from 1 species